UUUCCAGAACAACAAAUCUCUUUCUAAUAUGGCAUCUUCUUGUUAGAAAUUAUUUUUGUCAUGCAUUUUUUGAGCACCAGAUACCCUAAACGAUAUCAACGUUCUUGAUUGCUCUCUAGCUUUUAAUGAUACAGUAUAUUAAAUGGUAUGGCUCUAACUGUGAAUUACUUUGUCAACGGCCGACAGUAUCAUUUGGGUUACAAUCUCAUUGAUGAUAUUUAUCCCAACUGGGCUACUUUUAUUCAAUCUAUUCCACUUCCACAGAGUGACAAAUAUGAUAGUACAAGACGAACGAGCUGAAUACACUCAGCUUGACACCGCAUAAUUCAAACUAAGUGAAGGAUAAAUACUUUGUGGAAGUUAAAUAGACUGGAUAAAAGUUGCCCUGUUGAUUUUGAUGUCAAAAAUCUUAUUUAUUUUUUUCCGUUAAACUUAGAUUGUUUGACAUACUUUCUUCUCCAAAUAACUAUAGGUAACGUACUUUCUUCUUCUUCUCUCUCUCUCUCUCUAUCCCUCUUAUUCCAUUCCUCAAUUCUUUUGUUACCAUGGUUGUUCAUCUAAAUUAUAAAGUACAAUUUAUCAUUUUUUAUCAAAUAAUAUGAUUUUAAUGUAUUUAAUUAAUUUAGAUAGCUAUUUAUUUAAUAGAGCAAAUCGAUAUGUGCAUUUACAAUAAUCUUUUUUGUUUUUUUUAUCAUAUAUCAUAUAUAUUAGUAUAUAUAUUUUUUUUACAGGAAUAUGAAAAAAAAAAUUGCAUCAAACUCAUAUGUUCUUAUAUGAUACGGGUAUAAAUAAAAUUUGUUUAAUGCAAAUUAUAAUCAUCAAAGUAAAUUUUGAUUUACAGUAGCAUUUUUUAUUUAUACAUUGUCUAAAGAAAACAUAAACGUAUAUGGUUUUUCUUAACCAUUGCUUUUUUUAUGACGUUUUACUUUUAGUAUUUAGUUUUCUUUUAAUUGUACUUAAAGUGUUUAUGUUGCAGCUUCUAAUAUUGAAUCUUCGAAAAGCUAUGGAGAUUAUCGUCAUCAUCUCCAAAAACUAAAAAUACAAGAUAUGCAUCCAAAUAUUAAUUAAUUAGUACUAAUUAUUAUCUAUGUACAUUUAAUUCAUGUUUUUUUUUUGCAACAACACACAUUUAAUCUAUGUUUAUUGGUUUAGAUUGCAAAUACUUUUCUUUGUACUUUUUGUUUUUUACUUUGUUACAAACAAAACUGAAAGUUUGUAAGAUUCUUCUCUUUCAUUUUAUCCCCUCUUUCAAGGGUAAAGAUCAUAUUGGACGAAAAUCAAAUUGAUGUAUCAAUACUCAACAAUAAGAAAGACUGAAUGUAUUUUACUAAUUUAAUUUGUUUAUUAUCAUAUUGUUUAUGAUUUCUAUAUUCAUUUUGGUUAUAAGAUAAAUAUUAUUCAAUUAGAAUAUCAUGAUGUUUUCAAGAAUAUACGGGUAGGUUUCAAACCCCACAAUUUUAUGGUAGAGCGUGUUAGGAUUAAUAUUUUUAUGAAUGUAAUUGACGAG
rnacentral:lncRNA from 1 species